rnacentral:ncRNA from 1 species
GCGGGGUGCCGCCCGUGGCAGGCGGCUGAGAGAGACCCGUUGAACCUGAUCUAGGUAGUGCUAGCGAAGGAACGUCGCGAU